rnacentral:rRNA from 1 species
UACGUAGGGUGCGAGCGUUGUCCGGAAUUAUUGGGCGUAAAGAGCUCGUAGGCGGUGUGUCACGUCGGCCGUGAAAACCUGGGGCUUAACUCUGGGCGUGCGGUCGAUACGGGCAUCACUAGAGUUCGGCAGGGGAGACUGGAAUUCCUGGUGUAGCGGUGAAAUGCGCAGAUAUCAGGAGGAACACCGGUGGCGAAGGCGGGUCUCUGGGCCGAGACUGACGCUGAGGAGCGAAAGCAUGGGUAGCGAACAGG